rnacentral:rRNA from 1 species
UACGUAGGGGGCAAGCGUUAUCCGGAUUUACUGGGUGUAAAGGGAGCGUAGACGGCGAUGCAAGCCAGAUGUGAAAGCCCGGGGCUCAACCCCGGGACUGCAUUUGGAACUGUGUGGCUGGAGGGUCGGAGAGGCAGGCGGAAUUCCUAGUGUAGCGGUGAAAUGCGUAGAUAUUAGGAGGAACACCAGUGGCGAAGGCGGCCUGCUGGACGAUGACUGACGUUGAGGCUCGAAAGCGUGGGGAGCAAACAGG